GACGAAGGGGGCUAGCGUUGUUCGGAAUUACUGGGCGUAAAGCGCGUGUAGGCGGUUGUCCAAGUCGGGUGUGAAAGCCUUGAGCUCAACUCAAGAAAUGCACUCGAUACUGGGCGACUAGAGUGCCGGAGAGGAUAGUGGAAUUCCCAGUGUAGUGGUGAAAUACGUAGAGAUCCGGAGGAACCCCAGAGGCGAAGGCGGCGCCCUGGCUCGCAACUGACGCUCAGACACGACAGCAUGGGGAGCGAACGGG
rnacentral:rRNA from 1 species